rnacentral:rRNA from 1 species
AUUGAACGCUGGCGGCAGGCCUAACACAUGCAAGUCGAGCGGAGCGGCGGACGGGUGAGUAAUGUCUGGGAAACUGCCUGAUGGAGGGGGAUAACGUCCGGAAACGGGCGCUAAUACCGCAUACUAUCAGAUGAGCCUAGUGCGGAUUAGCAGGUUGGUGGGGUAAAGGCCUACCAAGGCGACGAUCCGUAACUGGUAUGAGAGGAUGAUCAGUCAAACUGCAACUGAGACACGGUCCAGACUCCUACGGGCGGCAGCAGUGGGGAAUAUUGGACAAUGGGCGAAACCCUGAUCCAGCCAUCCCGCGUGUGCGAUGAAGGCCUUCGGGUUGUAAAGCACUUUUGGCAGGAAAGCGGUACCUGCAGAAUAAGCACCGGCUAACUACGUGCCAGCAGCCGCGGUAAUAC